rnacentral:rRNA from 1 species
AUAUCCUACGGGGCGCAGCAGUAGGGAAUCUUCCACAAUGGACGAAAGUCUGAUGGAGCAACGCCGCGUGAGUGAAGAAGGGUUUCGGCUCGUAAAACUCUGUUGGGAGGGAAGAAAGAUAGAGGGAGUAACUGGCCUUUAUUUGACGGUAAAUACUUAGAAAGUCACGGCUAACUACGUGCCAGCAGCCGCGGGAAUACGGAGGUGGCAAGCGUUGUCCGGAUUUAUUGGGCGGAAAGCGGGUGCAGGCGGUUCAAAAAGGUUGAUGUGAAAGGC